rnacentral:rRNA from 1 species
UACGUAGGGUCCAAGCGUUAUCCGGAAUCACUGGGCGUAAAGCGUGCGUAGGCGGAUGUUUAAGUGAUAUGCGAAAUCUUGUGGCUCAGCCAUAUAGACUGUAUAUCAUACUGGGCAUCUAGAGGAUGGCAGAGGCAAGUGGAAUUACUGGUGUAGCAGUGAAAUGCGUAGAGAUCAGUAGGAACACCAAUGGCGAAGGCAGCUUGCUGGGCCACACCUGACGCUGAGGUACGAAAGCGUGGGGAGCGAACAGG